rnacentral:rRNA from 1 species
GUGGGGAAUCUUCCGCAAUGGACGAAAGUCUGACGGAGCGACGCCGCGUGAGUGAAGAAGGCCUUCGGGUCGUAAAGCUCUGUCAUCAGGGACGAACGGCCGGUGGAGUGGAAAGCCACCGGAUUGACGGUACCUGAGAAGGAAGCCACGGCUAACUACGUGCCAGCAGCCGCGGUAAUACGUAGGUGGCAAGCGUUGUCCGGAAUUAUUGGGCGUAAAGCGCGCGCAGGUGGGAUCUUAAGUCCAUUUUUAAAGUUCGGAGCUCAACUCCGUGAUGGGAUGGAAACUGGGAUUCUUGAGUACCGGAGAGGAAAGCGGAAUUCCCCGUGUAGCGGUGAAAUGCGUAGAUAUGGGGAGGAACACCAGUGGCGAAGGCGACUUUCUGGACUGUACCUGACGCUGAGGCGCGAAAGCGUGGGGAGCGAACAGGAUUAGAUACCCGUGUAGUCC